AGAGUUUGAUCCUGGCUCAGGAUGAACGCUAGCGGCAGGCCUAACACAUGCAAGUCGAACGGGAUCGGUAGCAAUACCAUGAGAGUGGCGCACGGGUGAGUAACGCGUAUGCAACCUACCUAUUGCAAGGGGAUAGCCCGGAGAAAUUCGGAUUAAUACCCUAUAGUAAUUUCGGAAGGCAUCUUCUGAUAUUUAAAGUACCAACGGCAAUAGAUGGGCAUGCGUGCCAUUAGCUAGUUGGUGAGGUAACGGCUCACCAAGGCGAUGAUGGCUAGGGGGUCUUAAAGGAUGAUCCCCCACACUGGUACUGAGACACGGACCAGACUCCUACGGGAGGCAGCAGUGAGGAAUAUUGGGCAAUGGACGCAAGUCUGACCCAGCCAUGCCGCGUGCAGGAUGACGGCCUUAUGGGUUGUAAACUGCUUUUUUACGGGAAGAAACGCCCUACGUGUAGGGACUUGACUGUACUGUAAGAAUAAGCAUCGGCUAACUCCGUGCCAGCAGCCGCGGUAAUACGGAGGAUGCAGGCGUUAUCCGGAUUUAUUAGGUUUAAAGGGUGCGUAGGCGGAAUAUUAAGUCAGUGGUGAAAUCCUGCAGCUCAACUGCAGAACUGCCAUUGAUACUGAUGUUCUUGAGUUCAGUUGAGGUAGGCGGAAUGUGUAAUGUAGCGGUGAAAUGCAUAGAUAUUACACAGAACACCCAUUGCGAAGGCAGCUUACUAGACUGACACUGACGCUGAGGCACGAAAGCGUGGGGAUCAAACAGGAUUAGAUACCCUGGUAGUCCACGCCGUAAACGAUGAUCACUCGUUGUUGGCGAUACACAGUCAGCGACUGGGCGAAAGCAUUAAGUGAUCCACCUGGGGAGUACGGCGGCAACGCUGAAACUCAAAGGAAUUGACGGGGGCCCGCACAAGCGGAGGAACAUGUGGUUUAAUUCGAUGAUACGCGAGGAACCUUACCUGGGCUUGAAUGUCUUACAUCCGCAAGGAGAUGCCUGUCGAAAGAUGGGUGAGAGAGAAUAAGGUGCUGCAUGGCUGUCGUCAGCUCGUGCCGUGAGGUGUCGGGUUAAGUCCCAUAACGAGCGCAACCCUUAUCAUUAGUUGCCAGCGGGUAAUGCCGGGGACUCUAAUGAGACUGCCAGCGUAAGCUGUGAGGAAGGUGGGGAUGACGUCAAGUCAGCACGGCCCUUACGUCCAGGGCUACACACGUGUUACAAUGGCCGGUACAAAGGGCAGCUACCUGGUGACAGGAUGCUAAUCUCAAAAGCCGGUCUUAGUUCGGAUCGGAGUCUGCAACUCGACUCCGUGAAGUUGGAUUCGCUAGUAAUCGUACAUCAGCAAUGGUACGGUGAAUACGUUCCCGGGCCUUGUACACACCGCCCGUCAAGCCAUGGGAGCCGGGGGUACCUAAAGUCCGUAACCGCAAGGAGCGGCCUAGGGUAAAACUGGUGACUGGGGCUAAGUCGUUUCAAGGUA
rnacentral:rRNA from 1 species